AUAAGUAAAGUGUUUCAAAUCUUAAAGCACCAUCUAAAUGUGAUCUAAAGGUCAAUAUGGAUAGAAUGGUUUUUAGUCAAUAGAAUUAUCAUCUUUGGAAGAAAUCAGUGAGAUGUAAUCUGUUAAUGUCAUUUGGUCAAGAAGCAUUUAUUAAAUUACUAUGUGCCAAAUAGUGUGCUAGCCUCUAGAAAUAAAGUUGUCCCCAAAAAUAGAAGUUGUCCCAAAAAAAACUUAAUGGAGCUUUUUAGUUUUAUUAGUUUAUAACUUCACUAACGCUUUUGAAAUAUGUUACAUAAUCCAUUCCCUUAAGAAACUAGCCUUCUGAUUAGCAGGAAGAACAUGCAAACAGCUAUGAAUAUAUAUGAUAUAUCUAGUACAAGUGGGAGGUAAUCUCAGAGAGAAGACCCUUAUAUUGGGGGGGCAGUCACUAGUUGAGGACAAGAAUGGGAAGAUAGUACUGGGGGAUGAGACCUGGAAGGAACUCUUGCAGAAGGCAGGAUUUAAACAGAAUUUUUAAGAAAGCCCAAAGGUUAAAGUGGGAACAUUACAGAUGGAUAGCAUGAAGAAAAUAGACAUGAAGUCUAGAAAUGGCAUGUCAUAUGAGUGAGAACUAAAAACCAGUGUUAUUGUAUUAGCAUGUAGAGACACCAUCCAUUGGGCGGCUGCAAUAGAUAGUUAUGAUAGGAUGAGAGACUGUUAUCAUCACAGCAGCUAUGUGAGUGACAAGAAGGGAACAUGCAUAAGAGAUAUGAAAGUAGCAACUGCCAGGACUUGACAACAGAUUGGAUAUGUGGGGCGAAUGUGACACAGAUUACAAAAUUGGGUGACUACGAAUGUAGUAGUGCCUUUGACAAUUGUGUAGGAAGAUAAAAAGAGUGGAAGGUUUUGGGAGAAAGGCAAUGAGUUCUAAGAACAAGUGCUGGAGGCACCAUAGGAAAACAGUUACACUAAAGCACUGUUGAUGGAGCUGUGAACUAGGUUAACCAUUCUGGAAAGCAAUUUGUAACUGUGCCCACUCUGACCCAAAAUUACUUUUGCUGGGUUCAUGCCCCCAAGAGAGUACCCAAAUAUACAAAAAUAGGUUGUGGUGGCAAAGGAUUAUAAACUGAAGUGAUGCCCAUCAAUUGGGGAGUAGCUUAAGUUAUGAUACAUAAAUAUAAUGGAAUACAAUUGUGCUGUAAGAAAUGAUAAAAAGGAUGGUUUCAGAAAAACUGUGAAGACUUGAAUGAACUAAUAUAAAUGGGCAUUGAGCAGAAUCAGGAAAACAAUGUAUAUGAUAACAUCAGUGUUGUAAAGAUAAAUCAACUGUAAAGGACUUAGUAACCCUGAUCAACACAUUGACCCACCAUCAUUCCAAAGGACUCUAGAUGAAAUAUGCUAUCUAACUCCAACUAGAGAACUUGUGGAUUCAGAAUGCAGACUGAAAUAUAUAUUCUUUUCCCUUUUUUUUUUUUCACAUGGUUUUGACAGUGUUGAAUUUGUUUUGUAUGAUUAUGUGUUUGUAUUGGAUUUUGUUUUUUCUUAGUGAGAGGAGAAGGAAGUGGAAAGAAAGAAUUCAGAAUUGAAAAUAAAAUUGAAUUUUUAAAUAAAGUAUAAAUAAUUCAGUUUGGGACAUCUUGAGUUUGCUAUAUCUAUGGGAUAUUCAGUUUGGGCUGUUCAGUAGGCAGCCAUUGUUGACGUGAAACUAGUGGUCAGGAGAAAGGACUGGCUUCCCAAAAGCCUUAGUGCAGUGUUUAAUUUGGUAAAAAUUUAUUAUGUAUUUCCUUUAAACUUCACUAAGACUUUUGAGACACUAAAGAAAAUUCUAUAGAUUUAAAAAUCUCCUACUUAGAGAUAAUUGAACCCAUGGGAGCUGAUGAAAUCACCAAAUAGAAGAGGACGACUUAGGACAGAUUUUUGGGGAGACAUUUAUAAUUAAUAUGACCUAGAGAAAGAUCCAGCAAAAGCCAAUUAAGGACCUGGGAAACAGCAAUAUCACAAAACCUAAAGGAG
ensembl:lncRNA